AGCGAACGCUGGCGGCAGGCUUAACACAUGCAAGUCGAACGGUCCUUCGGGAUAGUGGCGGACGGGUGAGUAACACGUGGGAACGUACCCUUAGGUUCGGAACAACACAGGGAAACUUGUGCUAAUACCGGAUAAGCCCUUCGGGGGAAAGAUUUAUCGCCUUUGGAGCGGCUCGCGUCUGAUUAGCUUGUUGGUGAGGUAAUGGCUCACCAAGGCUACGAUCAGUAGCUGGUCUGAGAGGAUGGCCAGCCACACUGGGACUGAGACACGGCCCAGACUCCUACGGGAGGCAGCAGUGGGGAAUCUUGCGCAAUGGGCGAAAGCCUGACGCAGCCAUGCCGCGUGGAUGAUGAAGGUCUUAGGAUUGUGAAAUCCUUUCACCGGGGACGAUAAUGACGGUACCCGGAGAAGAAGCCCCGGCUAACUUCGUGCCAGCCGCCGCAGUAA
rnacentral:rRNA from 1 species